GGAUUGUGGCUCAGUGGUAGAGCACUUGCCUAACAUGUGUGAAGCACUGGGUUCGAUUCUCAGCACCA
rnacentral:tRNA from 1 species